rnacentral:lncRNA from 1 species
GAAAGAUUCAAAAUAACAUUUCUUCUGCUUGAGAAUGGACAAUAGAAUUCCUUGCUUUGGCUUUUUGGGACAUAAGUAUACGCUGAAUCAGUGUUUCCCGUUGUGUUCUAUAAAAUGUUAUCAUUUGAAAAAAAGUUCUGUAGUAAGAGACUCAAAAUCAGUGAAGAAAUGUGGAAUAUUGCAGUGGAAACAGCACUAUGCUAAGGAUCAAGACACGGGAGUUUAAUCACUAAUCAUGGUGCAAUCCAGACAAGUCAUUUUCGGGGUCUCAGUUUCUCAUAUGUAAGAUAAAGAGUGUGUGAUUCAUAUAUUACAAUCUUUCAUUCUGAGCAUGAAAUGGGAAAUCAAAACUAUGUAAGGAUUAAGUUAUGAUGGCUAUUCCUUUCUUACACAUGUAGGUCAUUGCAAAUGGAAUUCAUUGAAGACUAAAAUUGUAUUUACUUUUUCUUUUUUACUUUUACUUAAAAAUUUAUAAACCAAAAUAGACUAUGAUAUUCUGAUUCUUUAGUAAAACUUUGUACAACAAAGCAAAUUUCUACCCUACUUUUCUAGUCCAAGUAUUAUAGGUAAAGAUAUGUGUUAUUUAUUACGAAUUGGGCAAGGAGAUCAGACACUUGUUUUUAGCAUGAGUAUUAAUCUAUAGGCUUUUUCUUUUUCUCAAAAACAGUCUUUAGUAUAAUAGAUUCAGAAUUGACUUGCAUAUCUUUCAACACAUCAAUCUACCAACACAAAGCUUUUUUAGUGCCUUUCUGUUUAAAGACGAAUGUGUACCUACUUGUUAGAAAUCUUGGCACCAUUUCUCUCCUGUAUGUAGAAGAUAUAAUAGCUUGACAUUAAAAGAACUUAGCUUUAACAAAAUAUACCCAUUAAGUGUCACAGCCAAUUCUCCUUGGCAAAGAAAAAAGGUAUGAAGAAAGAAAAGUGUGAGUUCGUGAGAAGAACACAAAUUAAGCCUUUUAAAAUUCCUUUGGUUUAACAACCUACAUUUCAUCCAUUGUUCAGUGAAAGACAUUCAUUACAUUUUUUAUGAUUCAUUCCUAUAUAUUUUUUUAUUUUAAGUGUUUUAAAUGUAUCAAUUUUACCCAUCUAACUAACAUUCAUGUGAGAUGCUUUAUAUCAUUAAAAUAUUUUAAGGGAAAACAGGACCUUGAAUAUUUUGGAAGCUGUGCUUCAAAAUGUAUGCUUAAAAAUAUAUUGUGAUCAAAAAAAAAGAUUUAAAUGAUUACAUUUAAGUUACAAGUUACAUGACUUAUGAAAGAAGGCUUAGAGAAAACAUAAAUGCAAAAACAAACAAUAUUUCCUCUUGAAAAUAAUAGAAAAUAUUUUACAUAAUUUGCUGGGUAAAAACAAGGAUUUUUCAUUUUGAAAACAAAGGGAAAAUGGUCUACUUAAUUUGUUGGGCCACCGUAUUGUGGAUCCACUCAGGUUCUUGUUUAUCACUUUACUUAUACAUCAUUGAGGCACAAUUGCCAGGAUUAGAGACUACAGUAAACUCGUUGAAGAUGAUAGGUUCGUUUAGUUAGGGUUUUAGGGCAUACAGAUGGACUCCCCAGAGCCCUGAAACACUGAGCCUUGUUCUACCUGCAGGCACCAAAGCAGGUGUAUGCCGCUGAUGGGGGGGCUCAAAUGGAACAAACCACAGGUGAUGCUAAUUAGGGAAGCUCAGGGACUAGGAAGGAGCACAGUUUAUUGCUGAUGGUGGAGUGCCAAAGGUUAGUGAAAAGCAGGAUUGUCUGCUGGCCUGGGAAAGAUAAGAAUACAAAGGGCACAGAAAUGGAUUUGAAUACAGGCACUUAUCUGUGUGCCUUUUAAACUACAUAAUGCUGCAUAUAAUGGUGUGCUUUUAGCAGUAAAAUUGGGAGUUCUUAUAUGAAUGUACUAACUUAUUAACAUCAAUUUGUGUCACCAUUUAAGUAGUUACUCUUUUUUUUUUGUCAUGAAGAAGGAGCAUCAAGAAAACAUUAGGCCAAUUUCAAAUAAGCUAUAUGAUCAUAAUGAAACUCAUGUGUAUCAUGCCAUCAUCCAUAGUUUUAUAUAGUGCAACUUUACCACAACAUUAAGAAAAAAUCUUUUAAUUACAAUGACAUAUGAAUUAAAUAAAUCUCCAUCUUUCUGUGAUUUACCA